GGGAAACCGGAGCUAAUACCGGAUAAUAUUUCGAACCGCAUGGUUCGAUAGUGAAAGAUGGUUUUGCUAUCACUUAUAGAUGGACCUGCGCCGUAUUAGCUAGUUGGUAAGGUAACGGCUUACCAAGGCGACGAUACGUAGCCGACCUGAGAGGGUGAUCGGCCACACUGGAACUGAGACACGGUCCAGACUCCUACGGGAGGCAGCAGGC
rnacentral:rRNA from 1 species